rnacentral:rRNA from 1 species
GACGAACGCUGGCGGCGUGCUUAACACAUGCAAGUCGAGCGGUAAGGCCCUUUCGGGGGUACGACGAGCGGCGAACGGGUGAGUAACACGUGGGUGACCCGCCCCUCAGCUCUGGGAUAAGCCUGGGAAACUGGGUCUAAUACUGGAUAUGACUCCACGGUGCAUGUCGUGGGGUGGAAAGCCUUGUGCGGCUGAGGAUGGGCCCGCGGCCUAUCAGCUUGUUGGUGGGGUGAUGGCCUACCAAGGCGACGACGGGUAGCCGGCCUGAGAGGGCGACCGGCCACACUGGGACUGAGACACGGCCCAGACUCCUACGGGAGGCAGCAGUGGGGAAUCUUGCGCAAUGGGCGAAAGCCUGACGCAGCGACGCCGCGUGAGGGAUGACGGCCU